GACGAACGCUGGCGGCGUGCUUAAUACAUGCAAGUCGAACGGACGGGCCGUGCUCUUGUUGGUUACUCGUGAGGGGCGGGGGGGAGUAAAACGCGAGUAAACCGCCCUCGACAUUCGGGUAACAUCAGGAAAAUGGGGCUCAUAUCGGGUAGAAGCCCAAACUGCAUGGUGGGUGUCGGAAAGAUACGGCGGUAGGGGAUGGACGCGCGGCUUAUCGCCUCGUUGGUGGGGUAGUGGCUUACAAAGGCUGUGACGGGUAGCCGACCUGAGAGGGUGACCGGCCACAAUGGGACUGCGAGACGGCCCAGACUCCUACGGGAGGCAGCAGUGGAGAAUAUUGCAGAGCAGGCGGAAGCCAGAUGCAGCAACGCCGCGUGCGGGAUGACGGCCUUCGAGUUGUGAACCGCUUUCGCCUGUGACGAAGUGUGAGUGACGGUAAUGAGUAAGGAAGCACCGGCUAACUACGUG
rnacentral:rRNA from 1 species